CCAGAGCCUGAAUCAGUGUGUGUGUUAGUGGAAGCGUCUGGAAAGGCGCGCGAUACAGGGUGACAGCCCCGUACACAAAAAUGCACAUGCUGUGAGCUCGAUGAGUAGGGCGGGACACGUGGUAUCCUGUCUGAAUAUGGGGGGACCAUCCUCCAAGGCUAAAUACUCCUGACUGACCGAUAGUGAACCAGUACCGUGAGGGAAAGGCGAAAAGAACCCCGGCGAGGGGAGUGAAAAAGAACCUGAAACCGUGUACGUACAAGCAGUGGGAGCACGCUUAGGCGUGUGACUGCGUACCUUUUGUAUAAUGGGUCAGCGACUUAUAUUCUGUAGCAAGGUUAACCGAAUAGGGGAGCCGAAGGGAAACCGAGUCUUAACUGGGCGUUAAGUUGCAGGGUAUAGACCCGAAACCCGGUGAUCUAGCCAUGGGCAGGUUGAAGGUUGGGUAACACUAACUGGAGGACCGAACCGACUAAUGUUGAAAAAUUAGCGGAUGACUUGUGGCUGGGGGUGAAAGGCCAAUCAAACCGGGAGAUAGCUGGUUCUCCCCGAAAGCUAUUUAGGUAGCGCCUCGUGAAUUCAUCUCCGGGGGUAGAGCACUGUUUCGGCAAGGGGGUCAUCCCGACUUACCAACCCGAUGCAAACUGCGAAUACCGGAGAAUGUUAUCACGGGAGACACACGGCGGGUGCUAACGUCCGUCGUGAAGAGGGAAACAACCCAGACCGCCAGCUAAGGUCCCAAAGUCAUGGUUAAGUGGGAAACGAUGUGGGAAGGCCCAGACAGCCAGGAUGUUGGCUUAGAAGCAGCCAUCAUUUAAAGAAAGCGUAAUAGCUCACUGGUCGAGUCGGCCUGCGCGGAAGAUGUAACGGGGCUAAACCAUGCACCGAAGCUGCGGCAGCGACGCUUAUGCGUUGUUGGGUAGGGGAGCGUUCUGUAAGCCUGUGAAGGUGUGCUGUGAGGCAUGCUGGAGGUAUCAGAAGUGCGAAUGCUGACAUAAGUAACGAUAAAGCGGGUGAAAAGCCCGCUCGCCGGAAGACCAAGGGUUCCUGUCCAACGUUAAUCGGGGCAGGGUGAGUCGACCCCUAAGGCGAGGCCGAAAGGCGUAGUCGAUGGGAAACAGGUUAAUAUUCCUGUACUUGGUGUUACUGCGAAGGGGGGACGGAGAAGGCUAUGUUGGCCGGGCGACGGUUGUCCCGGUUUAAGCGUGUAGGCUGGUUUUCCAGGCAAAUCCGGAAAAUCAAGGCUGAGGCGUGAUGACGAGGCACUACGGUGCUGAAGUAACAAAUGCCCUGCUUCCAGGAAAAGCCUCUAAGCAUCAGGUAACAUCAAAUCGUACCCCAAACCGACACAGGUGGUCAGGUAGAGAAUACCAAGGCGCUUGAGAGAACUCGGGUGAAGGAACUAGGCAAAAUGGUGCCGUAACUUCGGGAGAAGGCACGCUGAUAUGUAGGUGAAGUCCCUUGCGGAUGGAGCUGAAAUCAGUCGAAGAUACCAGCUGGCUGCAACUGUUUAUUAAAAACACAGCACUGUGCAAACACGAAAGUGGACGUAUACGGUGUGACGCCUGCCCGGUGCCGGAAGGUUAAUUGAUGGGGUCAGCGCAAGCGAAGCUCUUGAUCGAAGCCCCGGUAAACGGCGGCCGUAACUAUAACGGUCCUAAGGUAGCGAAAUUCCUUGUCGGGUAAGUUCCGACCUGCACGAAUGGCGUAAUGAUGGCCAGGCUGUCUCCACCCGAGACUCAGUGAAAUUGAACUCGCUGUGAAGAUGCAGUGUACCCGCGGCAAGACGGAAAGACCCCGUGAACCUUUACUAUAGCUUGACACUGAACAUUGAGCCUUGAUGUGUAGGAUAGGUGGGAGGCUUGGAAGUGUGGACGCCAGUCUGCAUGGAGCCGACCUUGAAAUACCACCCUUUAAUGUUUGAUGUUCUAACGUUGACCCGUAAUCCGGGUUGCGGACAGUGUCUGGUGGGUAGUUUGACUGGGGCGGUCUCCUCCUAAAGAGUAACGGAGGAGCACGAAGGUUGGCUAAUCCUGGUCGGACAUCAGGAGGUUAGUGCAAUGGCAUAAGCCAGCUUGACUGCGAGCGUGACGGCGCGAGCAGGUGCGAAAGCAGGUCAUAGUGAUCCGGUGGUUCUGAAUGGAAGGGCCAUCGCUCAACGGAUAAAAGGUACUCCGGGGAUAACAGGCUGAUACCGCCCAAGAGUUCAUAUCGACGGCGGUGUUUGGCACCUCGAUGUCGGCUCAUCACAUCCUGGGGCUGAAGUAGGUCCCAAGGGUAUGGCUGUUCGCCAUUUAAAGUGGUACGCGAGCUGGGUUUAGAACGUCGUGAGACAGUUCGGUCCCUAUCUGCCGUGGGCGCUGGAGAACUGAGGGGGGCUGCUCCUAGUACGAGAGGACCGGAGUGGACGCAUCACUGGUGUUCGGGUUGUCAUGCCAAUGGCACUGCCCGGUAGCUAAAUGCGGAAGAGAUAAGUGCUGAAAGCAUCUAAGCACGAAACUUGCC
rnacentral:rRNA from 1 species